rnacentral:rRNA from 1 species
GCAGCCGCGGUAAUACGGAAGGUCCAGGCGUUAUCCGGAUUUAUUGGGUUUAAAGGGAGCGUAGGCGGGAUAAUAAGUCAGUUGUGAAAGUUUGGGGCUCAACCUUAAAAUUGCAAUUGAUACUGUUAUUCUUGAGUGCACGCAGGGGUGCCGGAAUUCAUAGUGUAGCGGUGAAAUGCUUAGAUAUUAUGAAGAACUCCGAUCGCGAAGGCAAGUGCCCGGAGUGCUACUGACGCUGAGGCUCGAAAGUGCGGGUAUCAAACAGGAUUAGAUACCCC